CUGUCGAAUACCGCAUCACUUGAUCACUGAUGGCUCAACGGUAUCCGACGGCACAAAUGAAUAAUGUAGCUGCCUUUUUGAGCGGGUCGGCUGCAAUCCGAAACGGAGAUUAUUCUCCUAGGACUGCGGUGCUUUUGUUAUGCCUUGGAGGCAGCUUCUGC
rnacentral:ncRNA from 1 species